rnacentral:rRNA from 14 species
CUAGCGAGGUUAAGCAUUUAAGAUGCGUAGCCGAAGCGAAAGCGAGUCUGAAUAGGGCGAACUAGUUAGUGGGGGUAGACGCGAAACUUGGUGAUCUACCCAUGAGCAGGUUGAAGUUGCAGUAACAUGUAAUGGAGGACCGAACCAGUAAACGUUGAAAAGUUUUUGGAUGACUUGUGGGUAGGGGUGAAAGGCCAAUCAAACUGAGAGAUAGCUCGUACUCCCCGAAAUGCAUUUAGGUGCAGCGUUGAGGAUUAUAGUUAUAGAGGUAGAGCUACUGAUUGGGCUAGGGGGCUUCACCGCCUACCAAACCCUAAUAAACUCCGAAUGCUAUAACUUUUACUCAGCAGUGAGGGCAUGGGUGCUAAGGUCCAUGUCCGAGAGGGAAACAACCCAGACCAUCAGCUAAGGUCCCUAAAUAUAUACUAAGUUGAACUAACGAGGUUCGAUUGCUUUGACAGCUAGGAUGUUGGCUUGGAAGCAGCCAUUCAUUUAAAGAGUGCGUAACAGCUCACUAGUCGAGCGAUUGAGCAUGGAUAAUAAUCGGGCAUAAAGUAUAUUACCG